rnacentral:rRNA from 1 species
GGAUUCGAUUUAGCCAUGCUAGUCGUACGAGUUCAUACUCGUGGCGAAUAGCUCAGUAACACGUGGCCAAACUACCCUUCGGACCACAAUACCCUCGGGAAACUGAGGCUAAUAGUGGAUAUCACAGCCCACCUGGAAUGAGUGAUGUGCCAAACGCUCCGGCGCCGAAGGAUGUGGCUGCGGCCGAUUAGGUAGACGGUGGGGUAACGGCCCACCGUGCCAAUAAUCGGUACGGGUCAUGAGAGUGAGAACCCGGAGACGGAAUCUGAGACAAGAUUCCGGGCCCUACGGGGCGCAGCAGGCGCGAAACCUUUACACUGCACGCCAGUGCGAUAAGGGAAUCCCAAGUGCGUAGGCAUAGAGCCUACGCUUUUGUCCACCGUAGGGAGGUGGACGAAUAAGGGCUGGGCAAGACCGGUGCCAGCCGCCGCGGUAAUACCGGCAGCCCAAGUGAUGGCCGAUCUUAUUGGGCCUAAAGCGUCCGUAGCUGGCCGCGCAAGUCCAUCGGAAAAUCCACCCGCUCAACGGGUGGGCGUCCGGUGGAAACUGCGUGGCUUGGGACCGGAAGGCGCGACGGGUACGUCCGGGGUAGGAGUGAAAUCCCGUAAUCCCGGACGGACCGCCGAUGGCGAAAGCACGUCGCGAGAACGGAUCCGACAGUGAGGGACGAAAGCUAGGGUCUCGAACCGGAUUAGAUACCCGGGUAGUCCUAGCCGUAAACAAUGCCUGCUAGGUGUGGCUCCCACUACGAGUGGGUGCUGUGCCGUAGGGAAGCCGCUAAGCAGGCCGCCUGGGAAG